rnacentral:lncRNA from 1 species
UCGAAUUAGACCCCUCUCUCUCUCUCAGUAACACCGCACCAAACACGCCCGCUCCUCCCUCUUCCCUCGAACUGUAUCUAUAUCUUUUUGAUCUCUAUCUCUCUAUAUCUACGAUCUCAAUCUACUCUCUGUUUUAUGAGGUUUUAAGUUCUGAAAGCCCCCGAUCUGCUUCGAUCGUGUCCAAAUCUCUAGUUCUGGUAAACUUUUCUGCUCAAAUUCGCUCAAUUAUGAUGUUUAGUAAUGUGAUUUGCUUGAAUUUUGUUGCGGUUAAUUUUACAUGCUAAUAGCUUGAUAGGAACUGACCUAAAAUAAUUCACCAAAACCAAUGAUUUGGUCUUGUCAACAGAACCAUGAAGUUCCACUGAUAAUAAAUUCCUUCGGUCUGUUGUCUGAACUUUGGGAUGGCAGUCCUGUUUUGCUGAGAUAAAAGAGUACAUACCGUGGGACAGAAUAAAUUUGCCUAAAGUGGAUUUGGGGUGUGGUGAUUGGUUCGUUAAAAUUGGUUUAGGAAGUAAACACGAUAAGGGAAAUUUCAUUUAGUAUAAACUUUAGCAAUGAAAACUAUGAUAAGAUAUGAACAUAUAAUGUAAUUUCUGAGGUUUGCAGUUGGAAGAGGAAUAUACGAUUCAUUUUCCAGUUAGGAAGUUUUUCAUGUAUGUUUUGUGAAUGCUUUAAUAAGGCCAAAUGCUUUAAUUUUAUGCUUGUGGGGUUUGUAAACAAACUGAUACUACCUUUGAAUCUGAUUGAAUUCAAUCAGAAAAAAUCUAAACCAAGAACAUAGGUGUACCUGCAAUUAUUAUUUUUUGUGUGUGUGAGAGAGAGAGAGAGGGUCCAUAUUGACAUUCGGAGAGGCAACAAGUGAGAGAAAACCCAAUGGGGAUUAGGCCCCCACAAUGUCCUAAGGUUAAUAAUUUGAUAUUAUUAUAACUUCAUAUGGCUCAAAUGUGCACGAGUGAGCCAUGAUUUUUGGUCUAGUAUACAAAUUUGUAAUUCUUUUUCUGGCAUUUCCAUUUGCACACAAGUUACAGGUGCUUCUGAUAACAGGUUGUGUGUGAAAACAGGUUGUAUUUACACAAAUUCUAGUAUAUAUUUGUGUGUGAAAACAGGUUGUGGCUUUGGAUUUUGAUAAAGUAUUCUGUUAUGGAAGAACAAAGUGUAUUUACAAGUCCAGUCUCUAAACGGAGUGCUGAACAAAGUACAUCUACAAGUACAGGUAACAAACGUUCUAAGAAAUGCACCUCUUCAGUUUGGGAUCAAUUUGAAAAAGUUAUCAUUGAUGAAAAAUUAAAAGUCAAGUGUAAAGAUUGUGGUCAUAUUUAUGCAUGUGAACACGGUACUAGUAAUAUGCUUUGACAUGUUAGCUUAAAACAUGGAACAAAAUUAAUUGACUAUGAGUUAGAAAGGGUGCCUUUAGAUCAAAAUCACUAUCGUGAGCUAAUGGCAAAAGUUAUAAUCAAACACAAUCAUCCCUUCUCUUUUGUGGAACAUGAAGGAAUUCGUGAAGUGCAUCGUUACUUGAAUCCAGAUGUACAAGUUAUCACAAGGAAUACUGCAAGAGCUGAUGUCUUAAGCAUAAAUAAGAAGGAAAAGGAAAAACUUAAGUAUGCUUUAGAAUCUAUUCCUGGUAGGAUAUGUUUAACAUCUGACUUAUGGUCUUCUUUUACUUUGUAUGGGUAUUUGUCUGUUACUGCACAUUAUGUGGAUGAGAAUUGGAUACUACAAGCAAGAAUUUUAAAUUUAAGGUUUUUAGCUCCUCCACAUAGUGGACCUUUAUUAGCAGAGAAGGUAAUUGGUUUGUUAAGAGAGUGGGGGAUUGAGAGGAAAGUGCUCACCAUUACUCUAGAUAAUGCAUCGACAAAUAAUGGCUUGGUAGAUGUUGUGAAGAGUUAUUUGAAUUUGACCGGUACAUUACUUUGUCAAGGGGAAUUUUUUCAUGUGCGUUGUGGUGCACAUAUUUUGAACUUAAUUGUUCAAAGUGGUCUUAAGAUGAUUGAAAAAUGUGUUAACAAAAUUAGAGAAAAUUUGAAAUAUAUGAAAGGGACAAAAGGAAGAUUGAUAAAAUUUGCUGAAUGUAUUGCUCAACUCUCAUUGAAGAGUAGUAAAAAACUUCGCCAUGAUGUUCCAACAAGAUGGAAUUCAACUUACUUGAUGCUUGAUAGUGCUUUGACAUACAAACUUGCAUUUUAUCAGUUACAAUUAGUUGACUCAAAUUUCAAGGAUUGUGCAACAGAGGAAGAAUGGAAAACAGUUGAAAAGAUUGCUAAAUUUUUGAAACCAUUCCAUGAUAUCACUACUCUUUUCUCAAGAACUCAAUACCCUACCUCUAAUCUUUAUUUUCAUGGGGUAUGGAAGAUACAAUCUCUUAUUACGAUGAGAUGGAUGAUCCAAGUAGCAUUUUAUAUAUGGCAAUUGAAAUGAAUGCGAAGUUUGAAAAAUAUUGGGAGUGCUAUAGUUUGGUGUUGUCAUUUGCCGUCAUCUUGGAUCCUCGUUUCAAGUUGGAGUUUGUGGAAUUUGUUUUUAAGAAACUAUAUCCAAGGAUAUACAAUGAAAGGGUGAAAUCUGUUCGUGAUAAGUUGAGUGACCUUUAUAAGGAUUAUUGUCGUUUUUCAACUUAUUCUUCUACAUCCGGUUCAUCUCGUCCAACUUUUUAUGGAGAUAAUGAAGAUGAUAUUGAUGAUAUGGAUGUAAGUAUUGUUUAUUUUCUUAAUUUUGAAGAUGUUUAUAUAUCUACAUGUAGAUAUGCUUACUUGUUUAUUUUUACCUAUUGUGAAAAUUUUGUAGGAGUUGACUCUUUUCUAAGUCAAAAAUAUGGUUCUGAUCGAAGUAAGUCGCAAUUGGAAUCUUAUUUGGAAGAGAGUAGUCUUAAUCGAAAGAUGCAUCUAGAUAUUCUUAGUUAUUGGAAAGCAAAUAGAAAUAGGUAUUCAGUGUUAUCAGUUAUGGCACGAGACAUUCUGAGUAUUCCGAUUACUACUGUUGCUUCAGAGUCGUCUUUUAGCAUUGGAGGCAUAUUAUAACCAAGUACUGUAGCUCAAUCACCCUGAGAAUGCGGAGGCUUUAUUGUGUACUCGAAAUUGGUUGUAUGGCUCAGAUGGUAAAUAUUCAAACAUGACCAAGUUAAAUGUUAAAAUUUUGUUCUUUUGACUUUCUUUAGUUGUUGAUUUUGGAUUUUUUUUAAAUAUAGCCACUGAACAUGAUAAAGAAGAAGAAGAAGAGGAAGAGGAAGAGGAAGAGGAAGAGGAAGAGGAAGAAUUAAUCGUUGACAUCGAGCCUAUAGUUAUUGGACUUGAUAUAAUGGAAAGUAGGGUGGAUUAAGAAAAUUACACAAUUUGGGUGAUCAAUUAUAUUAUUUAAAGCAUGUAUACUAUAUUUGAUCUUGUUAUUUUGGUUUAAAGUCCUUUUCCAUCUCUAUCUCUUCAAGGAGAUUCAACAAUAUGCUUGUCAUGUUAUUCAGGUUAUUGCAGUUACUGGUUAUGGAGGUCUAGUUGAUGUUAUUUCACAAUUUGGAAGUCACUUUUGCACAUUUUAGUGUAGAUGCCUAUGAAAGGAGUUCGAUUAGCCCUUUGGAAUUGACUUUGGAAAAAUAUAUGUUUUGUAAUGUUAAAUUUUAAUAUGUCUGUCUAAUUAAUUAAAUUUUAAUAUGGUCUAUAGAAUUAUAUGGUUUAAUAUGUCUGUCUAAUUAAUUAAAUUUUAAUAUUGUCUAUAGAAUUAUAUGUUUUGUAAUGAUUUUGGCUCAUUUGCAACUUAUAUACCAACACAAAAUUGAUUAAUUCAACAAUGAUUAUCGAUAAUUUUAUUAAAAUAAACGUAGCCAAAUUAAUAAUAAUUAUGUGACAACAUUUAAUUGAUUAGUGAUAAUUUCAUUUAUUAAAAUAUAUAAAUAUAGCCAAAUAAUAAGUUUAUAAAUUAACGUAAGAAUAUUAAUUUCAUAGCUUCAAAGGGAUCAAAUAAAUGGUUAAAGGCAUUAGCUGCUAAGAAUUGCAUAGCUUGAAAAAAAGUAAUUUAAUUACCCUUGUAUCCGUCUCUAUAUCUAUAGUAUAUGUAAGACCCUAACUUUUAUGAAUAAAGAUGAUUUUUCUAUAAAUAUCAUUUUUGAAUAUUAUAGAAUGAAUUUGAUAUAAUGUUAUAGUUGUGGGUAAUAUUUAUAAAUUUUGCAAAGUACGCAAGUUGUUAUAUAAUAUUCGAUUGGUCGGGGAAUAUUCGUUUUAACAGAAAAUAUUCGUACAACAACACAAUCAUUGAUGGACCCCACAACGGAAUUAUUGUCAGAUUGAGAAAACGACAAAAAUACUUUAUGAAAAUAACGGCGGAAAUUUUACCGUUAACUGUUGAAACACCCGGUGUUAAAAGUACAGUAAUACGUGUGGUUGCAUAGUAGCACACGGUAUUGAUUAUUGAUGCUUACGUGAGAAGUCACUCAGUUUUGUUCAAUUAUUGUUACAGUAAUUGUUGCAUAGUAUCUCACGUUAUUUGAUUCAAUUAUUGUCAAUAUUUUGUAUAUUAUUAAAUCAAUAAUUGAGAUAACAAAGUUAUUAAUAUUAUUAUUUUCAAUAUUAACGAUCUCUAGAAGUUCUACCAAGUAGAGGUUUGGUCACCUAAUUGCGCGCCAAUAGGGAAAAAUCUUUAUUGGAAAGCCCCCUCUUUCUUGGGAACGACCUGGUCGAUUAAUAUUGUGAAUUAUAAUAUUGAUGAUAAAUGUUGUUAAAAAUAUUGAGAGGAUUUUUUAUGAAGUAUUUGAUGUAAUUUUGCGUAUUGUUUGGAUCCUCACUUACCCAUUUUUCAAAAAGUCAGGAGUAAGUUAUCUCAGUUUUUGUUAUAUAUAUAUAUGAUGAAAGUGACUUUGGGGGGUGGGGGAUUGAUGUUGGUCAUGGGGGGGAUAAAAAUCAAGUGGUGUAUAUAUAAUAUUGAUAUAUAUAAAUUAAAAGCAUGUGUUUAUAUAUAUAUAUAUUUUAUUUUUUAUUUUUUUGUUUUGUUUUUAUUGGAUGGUUGAUUGAAAAUUUGCAUCCGUGAUUCUCAAAGUUUUCAUCCGUGAGUUGCGCAUCUAUUGCAUCAGUGAUUUUUUGCACAGUGCCCUUCUAUUCUCCUAUAAAUAGGAUGCUUAGUUAGAAUUGAAAAUCACACCAGAAAUUCAGAGAAUUCUCUUCUAUAAUCUUGAGCAUAUUUUUUUAGAGUUUUAAUAAGCUUUGAGCAUAGUGCAAGUUUUCUUCAAGAAUAUCUUCGCCCUACCAAUUGGAAUACUCUUCUUUUACGGUAAGGGGUAUUAUUUCUUUCUUAUUCAUGAAGAGAACUUCUGUUAUUCUAUUCUUUAUUAUUCUGUUGAAAUAACCUGUAUACGCGGGCUACCCUAUACUUGGUGAAUUUAUUCUGUUAUUCCACUUUUUAUCAUUAUGUUGGAAUAACCUGUCUAUGCGAAGUACCGCAUACAUGGUGAAAUUCUUCUGUUAUUCCAUUUUUUAUUAUUCUGUUGGAACAUCCUGUCUGUACGUUAUGCAUGACCUGGUUCCGUUAUUUAUUAUUCUGUUGGAACAUCCUGUCUGUGCGUUUACGCAUGACCUGGUUCCGUUGUUUAUUAUUUUGUUGGAAUAACCUGUCUAUGCGGUCUAUCGCAUGCCUGGUGAUUUUUUUUGUUAUUCCAUUCUUUAUUAUACUCAGUUGGUUAAAAUUUUGACUUCUAUACUCCAUGAAAUUAGUGGAAUAUCCUUGAUAUUUGCGCUUCAUCUAGUAUCUUUUCAUGGAAAUAUUCUUCUGAGCAUUCUUGUUAAAUUUUAACUUUUCCAUGUCGGGGUACUAUUCACGGGAUUACUAUUCCCGAAGUUACUAUUCACGGGGUACUAUUCACUCGGUUACUAUUUACCCGGGGUACUAUUCAUGACAAAAAAUAAUUUUUUUCCCGAUCCAAAUCAUCCUCUGCCUCGCGCAGCCCAGUGUCGGCUCCGCCCCUGGUAGCUCAUCCUCUGCCUCGGUUCCUCCGACCGCGUCGUGGACUCGGCCCUCGCCGCUGACCUCGGUCUUCACCGGCUCAUUAUAUAUACUAAAUAUACUAAAAUAGUCGUAUAUUUGGUUGCUGAAAUUGAUUAUUUAGUGCCCUUAUUCUAGAUUUUUGUAGUAUUGAUAGAUUGGGUGGAUCUGUAUGUAUAUGUGAUGGUAGAUCGACUGGAUCUCGUUGUGGUGGUAGUAGAUCUAUUGAUGGCGUGAUUUUGAGAGGCGACGGUGCAUAGUGGUGGAUUUGUUGGUGAUGAUCUGAAUUUUGUUGGUGGAUUAUACGGAUCUGAAUUUUGUUGGUGGUGUUGAUGUCCCUAGUGGUGAUAUUAGAUGUUGGAGGUGGUGGUGGUGGACUGGGUGGUUCACUAAAACUUAUUUCACUAAAUAUUAAUGUAAGACCCGAAUUUUCAUAAAUAAAGAUUAAUUUUUUUCGAAAUAUAUUUUUGAAUAUUAUGGUGUGGAUAUGAUAUAAUGUUAUAGUUGUGGGUAAUAUUUAUAAAUUUUGCAAAGUAUGUAAGUUGUUAUAUAAUAUUCUAUUGGUCGGGGAAUAUUCGUUUUAACAGGGAAUAUUCGUACAACGACGCAAUCAUUGGUGGACCCCACAGCAUAAUUAUUAUCGGAGUUAGAAAACGACAUAAAUAUCUUUUUAUAAAAAUAACGGCGGAAGUUUUACCGUUAAACUGUUGAAAUACCCGGUGGUAAAAGUACAGUAAUACGCGUGGUUGCAUAGUAGCACACGGUAUUGAUUAUUGAUGCUUACGUGAGAAGUCAGUCAUUUUUGUUCAAUUGUUGCUACAUUAAUUGCUGCAUAGUAUCUCACGUUAUUUGAUUUAAUUAUUGUCAAUAUUUUAUAUAUUAUUAAAUCAAUAAUUGAGAUGACAAGUUAUUCUAAUUAUUAUAUGCAUAAUUAACAAUGUCUAGAAAGUUCUGUCGAGGAAAGGGGUUUGGUCACCUAAUUGCGCGCCAAUAGAGAGAAAUUCUUAUCGGAAAGCCCCCUCUUUCUUGGGAACGAUCAGGUUGUUAAUAGUGCGAAUUAUAAUAAUAAUGAAUGAAUGUUGUUAAAAACAUUGAAGGAAUUUUGUGAAGUAUUUGUGUAACUUUUGCUUAUAAUAUGGACCCCUAUUUACCUAUUUUUCAAAACUGUCGGUAGAAGUUAUCUCAGUUGUUUAUAUAUAUAUAUAUAUAUAUAAGUAUUAUUUAUAUAUAUUUUGUNNNNNNNNNNNNNNNNNNNNNNNNNNNNNNNNNNNNNNNNNNNNNNNNNNNNNNNNNNNNNNNNNNNNNNNNNNNNNNNNNNNNNNNNNNNNNNNNNNNNNNNNNNNNNNNNNNNNNNNNNNNNNNNNNNNNNNNNNNNNNNNNNNNNNNNNNNNNNNNNNNNNNNNNNNNNNNNNNNNNNNNNNNNNNNNNNNNNNNNNNNNNNNNNNNNNNNNNNNNNNNNNNNNNNNNNNNNNNNNNNNNNNNNNNNNNNNNNNNNNNNNNNNNNNNNNNNNNNNNNNNNNNNNNNNNNNNNNNNNNNNNGGUUAACUUUUAAUUAUUAUUCUUAUAUAUAUAUAUAUAUAUAUUAUAAUAAGUUUUAUUUUUUAUGAAAAAUAAAAUAUAUUAAAUUUUAUUCGCAUAGUAUUUUAUUAUGCAGUGCACAGUAGCAAAACCUGUGAAUUUUGAAAAUCAGCAGAAACGAUUCGUACGCCCGUGAUAUUCUUCCACUGUGCAGUCUGUUUCUUAACAGUACCCCUUCCAUUUUCCUAUAAAUAGGAUGCUUAGUUAGAAUUGAAAAUCACACCAGAAUAAGAGAAUUCUUCUUCUAUAAUCUUGAGCGUAUUUCUUUAGAGUUUAAGAAAGCUUUGAGCGUAGAAAAUAGUGCAAGUUUUCUUCAAGAAUAUCACCGCCCUACCAGUUGGAAUACUCUUCUUUUCAAGGUAAGGGAUGUUAUUUUUGUUCAAUAUUCGCUUGAAAUAAUAUUUUAUUCCAUACUCUGUAGUAUGUAAGUAAUAUUAUUUCGUUUCAGAUUUCGAAUUCUAUACUCAUUUGGUUAAAGUUUUGGCUUCUAUACUCCAUAAAAUUAGUAGAAUAUCCUUGAUAUUUGCGUUUCAUCCAGUAUCUUUUCAUGGAAAUAUUAUUUUGAGCAUUUUUGAUAAAUUUUAACUUUUCCAUGUCGGGGUACUAUUCACGGGGUUACUAUUUCCGAAGUUACUAUUCACGGGGUACUAUUCACUCGAUUACUAUUCAGCCGGGAUACUAUUCAUGACAAAAAAUAAUUUUUUUUCGAUCAAAAUCAUUUUGAUACAAUAUUAUUCUUAAAUUUUACUCCACAAAGCAGUAUCAUGUUGACAAUUUGGGCAUUAUUAAAUUCUGGAUAAAUUAAAUUAUAAAUCUUUAAAAAUUUAUCAUUUGCCUUCUUUUAAUUGAAUUCUUAUAUCAUUGUCAUCAUCCUCAUGCUUAUAGUAUGUUGAAAGUCAUCUUUGGUCGUAGUGCAUAGAUGGACUUGGUAUGAUUAUGACCAGAUAUUAUUCGGUAUAAUCAUGACCGUAAUGUUACAAAUGAUGUGGUAAAAGUCCUCAUUGGUCCGUAGUGCAUUGAUGGACAGUUGUUGGCAUGAUCAUUACCAUUGAUGAAAACACGAAUAUGCUUGGGCCGUAGUGCAUGGAUACUUUGUGGUCGUGAUACUAAUGAAUAUCAUUGGCCGUAGUGCAGGGAUAAUUCAAUUAUGUGGAUUAUUUAUUAAGCUGAGUCUCAGCGAUAAAAGUAAUGAAAAACCUUUUAAAUCAUAGAAGAUAGUAGAUUUCAUACUCUACUUGACUCUUCUAAUGGAUUGUUUGUUCCGCUGUAGUUAAACUUGAUGUCUAUUGUAUUUUAUCAGUUUAACACUGUUGAAGGCUAAUGAUAAUUUAUUCUGCAUUAUCUUAGUCAUAAUAUUUUUUACUGGGUUAGUUGAGCUCACUCUUUGCUUUCAUUGUUCUCUUUAGGAAAUGAGAAUAUAGCUGGGACUAGUCGGGGAACGGAGUGACGGUCCAGAUAGUAGCAUUAGUAGUCCUCAUUAUUCUGUGAAAUAGUGUGACAAGAAAUGUAUUGAUGACUUAUUUUGAGUUUGAAUACUGUCUAGAAGACAAUAUUUGUAUUAAAACUCACAACUAAUGUUGUAUAUUUAAGUUUGUAUUUGUAUUCGGUACCAUGUAUUUGACAACUCAGAAUGGGUGAUGUAUACCUAUUUUGGGAGCGUCAUAGUUGGUAUCAAAGCUUAGGGAUAUGAUCCCUAGCUAAGAUGUGAGACUAUAACUAGGGGGAGAGACGAGUAAUUCCUUCGCUAGUAUGACCUACCUAACUUUAUUUGUUAUUUAAUUGGUCGGUUAGAAUAUAGGGAUAUUAUGUGGUGUGUCAAUUAACCAUUGUUUUGUGGAAGUAUUUGAAAAUGACAUCCGAGAAUGUUGAGAAUAGCAAUAGAGCACAGGAGACCGUUGAGUCACAACAGAUCAAUACCCAGGAUAAUGUGCAAUAGGAAGACAAUAAUCCUUAGGUAAACAACAACACUGAUCAAAUGAUGAACGAUGGGAUGUUCAGAGGCUUUAUACAAUUCAUGCAACACCAGGCGAGAGUGGCUCCUGUCCAAAAUACAGGUGGAAACACUGGCAACUCUCGGACGAUCACCGCUAAGCAGUUCAAGGAGCUGGGACCACCAGAGUUUAUUGGAGAGCCAAAACCACUUAACGCGGAGACGUGGAUAAAGCAGAUCACCAAGAUAUUUGAUGUCUUGGGAUGCUCCGAGGAGCAAAAGGUUCCCUUUGCCACCUUCAUGUUGCGAGGCAGAUUACUUGUGGGAAUCUGUAAAACGUACUCAACCUGCCGAACUGAAGAUGUCUUGGAAGAGGUUCCAAGAACUGUUCAACGACAAGUACUUUCCCCAAAGUAUUCGUCACAUGAAGGAGGUAGAGUUCAUCAAGCUGGAGCAAAACAAUAUGACCGUGUCGCAGUACGAAGCUAAGUUUGUCGAGUUAUCCCGGUUUGCACCCCACUUAGUUGAUAACGAGGAGAGAAUGACACUGAUGUUUCUAAGAGGUUUGAAACCCGAGAUACGUCAAUAUCUUAUCUCUCACAAACUGUGUUUGUAUUCAGAUGUUGUAAAUAGGGCUCAGUUAUUGGAGCGCGAUAAUGAGACAUCCCAACCAAAGGAAAGCAACCGACAAAAUGAUAAUACCAGUGGUAGCAGUCAUCAAAGCGGCGAUAACAAACGUGGAGGGAAUCAACAUGCCAGAAAUGGUAACCACUUCGGUGGUAAUCAUGGCCAAGACAAUAAAAGUGGACAUUUCAAGAAGAGGAGAUUCAACAAUGAGGGAAAUACGUCAACACCAACACCCGUUGUUAAGGAAGGAGAACGACAACCUAUCAUAUGCUUCAAAUGCGGAGGGGAGGGACACAACAGUCCAAACUGUGCGCAUCAGUCCAAAACGUGUUACAAUUGUGGAAGAGAAUGUCACCUAGCUAGAUUUUGUCGUACAUGGAAGCCAAGUUCAGUUGGAACGGUGACACCAAAUGCCGUCCCAGACAAGUCAAAACCAGUAGUUCAAGGGAGAGUGUUUGUUGUGACCUCCUAGAAAGCAAGGAACCCGAACGAGGUCAUCACGGGUGAGCUUAUCAUAAACUCUAGCAAAGUAUAUACCUUAUUUGAUACCGGUUGUACCCAUUCUUUUAUUUUUUCUACUUGCGCUCAACGUUUAAAUUUAACUCCGAAGAAAUUAGACUUUGACUUAUCUGUUGAAACUCUGUUGGGAGAAACCUUCAUUAUAUCCACUGUUUAUAAGUCUUGUUUGGUUCAAAUCGGUACCCUCACAUUACCUGUCGAUCUUAUUUCCUUAAAAAUACUUGUGUUUGACGUAAUUCUAGGGAUUGAUUGGUUAACUACUCAUCAUGCAAAAAUUGAUUAUUUUCGUAAGGUUGUUAGCUUUCAUAUUCCUAGCCAACCUAUUAUGCAAAUUCAAGCAACCAAGCCAUUAAAAUCAAUCACUGACAUCUCAAGCUAUAAAGCUAUUCGUUUAUUGAAAAACGGAUGUCAAGCUUUCUUAGCUCAUGUCACGGAUUUAAACAAAAAUACGUCAGAUUGAAUGAUAUUUCUAUUGUCAAUAAAUUUCCUGACGUAUUCCCUGAAGAACUUCCUGGCCUACCCCCAGAGCAUGAAAUUAAAUUUUGUAUCGACCUUGAACCCGGUAAAAAAAUCCAUUUCCAAAGCCCCAUAUCGAAUGGCUCCUAUUGAACUUCAGGAGUUAAAGACCCAACUGCAGGAAUUAUUAGACAUCAGUUUCAUUCGUCCUAGUACGUCUCCUUGGGGUGCUCCUGUUCUAUUCAUGAAGAAGAAAGAUGGGAGUAUGCCACUUUGUAUUGAUUAUCGAGAGUUGAACCAUGUCACUGUCAAAAAUAGAUACUCGUUGCCUCGCAUUGAUAACUUGUUUGACCAGUUGCAAGGCGCCAAAUUCUUUUAAAGGAUCAAUCUUCGUUCCGGAUAUUAUCAAUUAAAGAUUAAAACCGAUGACAUUCAAAAGAUUACUUUCAGAACUCGGUACGGGCAUUACGAAUUCCUAGUCAUGUCCUUUGGAUUGACUAAUGCUCCUGCUGCCUUCAUGUAUAUGAUGAAUCGAGUAUUCAAGGAAUAUUUGGAUCACUUUGUGGUCGUCUUUAUUGAUGACAUCCUCAUUUACUCCAAAAGCCGUGAAGAUCAUGAGCAACACUUGAGACUGAUACUUCAAAAGCUUCGUGAAAACAAGUUUUAUGCCAAGUUAAAGAAAUGCGAUUUCUGGCUUGAGUAAGUAACAUUCCUUGGGCACGUGAUAUCAAAUCACGGAAUAUCUAUUGACCCGAUAAAUAUUGAAGCAAUUCAAAGCUGGGAACAACCUAAGUCAGUGAAUGAAGUACGUAGCUUUCUCGGCUUAGCUGGUUAUUAUCAGAGAUUCGUAGAAGGGUUUUCUCUAAUGGCUACUCCAUUAACUCAGCUGACUCGGAAAGAUACAAAAUUCGGUUGGAGCGAGGAAUGUGAGAAGAGUUUUUAAGAACUCAAGAGGAGGCUCAUUUCAGCACAUGUUCUGACAAUACCAGUUGGUUCAGAGGGAUUUGUCAUAUACAACGAUGCUUCAGGCAAAGGGUUAGGAUGUGUUCUCAUGCAACAUGGGAAAGUCAUAGCCUAUGCCUCUCGACAACUCAAAGAAUAUGAGAGGAAAUAUCCUACUCAUGAUCUAGAGUUGGUAGCUGUUGUCUUCGUACUUAAAAUUUGGAGGAAUUACUUGUAUAGGGAGAAAGUGGAGAUCUUUACGGAUCAUAAAAGCCUCAAAUAUUUCUUCACUCAAAAGGAACUCAACACGCGACAACGACGUUGGCUUGAACUGUUGAAAGAUUAUGAUCAUACAAUUCAAUAUCAUCUAGGAAAAACAAACGUGGUAGCUGACGCAUUGAGUAGAAGAUCAUAUGCGGGUACGAGUGCGAUAUUCUCAACGCAAAGACCCAUUUUGUAUGACUUACAAAGGAUGGAGAUCGAGAUAAAGACUCCAGGGAUCCACGUAAUGAUGGCCAAUAUAUGAGUAGAACCGAAUUUAAUCGAUAAAGUUAAAGCUGCUCAAGCUACAGACCUGGAGCUGAUGCGUAUAUGAGGAAGAAAGUGCAAGAAGGUGCUAUUCCAAAAGCAAGAAUCGAAGAAGAAGGAAUACUUCGAGUCAACUCCAGACUUUAUGUUCCUAACAACCCUGAUUUAAAGUAUAAGAUCAUGAUGGAGGCGCAUAACACACCGUUUGCAAUCCAUCUUGGGAGUACCAAAAUAUAUCGUGAUCUUCGACAUACAUUUUGGUGGAGCAAUAUGAAAAGAGAGAUCGCGGAGUUUAUGUGACAACCCGAGAAUUUGAAUAUUUUUAAAAUUUUUAUUAAUUGAUUUAAGGUUCAAUAUUAAAACCUAGACAGAAAAUAAUUGUAUGCGUUUGAUAUUUUUGAGUAGGAAUUUUGAGGAUUUCAAAAUUCUGUGAAGGAUUUAGGUGAAUUAUUCAGGAUUAAGGGAAUACGUGACUAUGUUCUGGGUAUAUGGUUGUAUAUGUGUACAGUAUAUGGUUAAGGGUCAAGGGUUGACAGAUAAACCCUAAUAUUAUAUUAAGAACGUCAACGUUCAGUUAGAAAAUUCUUACGAUUAACAAGAAACCCUAAAAAUCGGUUCUAGAAACCCUAAUUUCAGUUCCGGUAAUCCGAAACCCUAAUUCAGAAAUUUAAAACCCUAAUCUGGGAACUUAAAGGAUAAUUAUAAUGCUCAAGUGCUAUUAAUUAUAAUAUUAAUUAGGGUAAAGCUUAAUUAUUUAGCAAACCCUAAUUUCAAAUUUAGAAAACCCUAAUUUCUGGGUUUAAAACCCUAAUUUAUAAUUAGGAAAAACCUAAUUGUUAAUUUAAUAAUUUUAAUGUUAAUUAGGAAAUAUUAAUCCUAAUUUUCAAGUUAUAAGUAAUUAGAAAACCCUAAUCUAAUUACGAAAUCUAAUUUCUAAAUUAGAAAAUUAUUUUUCUAUUAGAAACCCUAAUUUUUGUGUUAUAAACCCUAAUGUACAAUUAUGACCCUAAUUGCUAAAUUAGCAAUUUUAAUUAGGAAAUAAUAAUCCUAAUUAGCAAGAUUGAAUUUAUGAUUAGGAAAUAUUAAAUAUAAUUAUAGAAUCCUAAUUAUAAUUUAGAAAUAUUAAUUUUAUUUUUGAAAACCUAAUUUGGAAAUUCUAGAAUUUAAUUUUUUAAAUCCUAAGGGUUCAAACCUUAAAUCCUAAGGGUUCAAACCCUAAACCCUAAAGGGUUCAAACCCUAAACCCUAAGGGUUGGGACAAAAGACCAUCUUGCCAUUAAAAUAAAAAUCAAAAUGAAAUUUUUGCCCUUAGUGCAUUAUUUAUUAGGUUGCUUGUAGAUCUAACCCUAAUUAAGUUGGUGAGCAACCCUAGCCUAUCCAUAUGCAAUAUAUGAAACAUAUCAGCCAUCUAAAUGCCAGCCAACUCAUUAUAUUUAUAAUUAAUAGAGAUUAAAGAGGGAGAAAAUGCCACUUUCAUUUUUCAUUUUCACUAAGGCACUCUCUCUCAUAAAUUUCGGGACUUAGAGUGAGAAAGAGAGAGAAUGAAAGCUAAGAACAUUUCAUAGCUUGCCUAGAUCAGGAAUCAGAAGUCAGAAUCCAAGAUCAAAGCAUCAAAGUGGUAUAAACCCUAAUUUUCAAAAUCCUUAGAUUUGAUGUUAGAUGUUAUGAUUUGUUGUUUAAUGUUGUGUAAUAAGGUGUCUUUUAGUGAUCUGUGUUGUUAAAUCCCAGAUCCAUAACAUUAAAGUACUCGAAAUUUGAGUUUUUAGAAAUCUGGGAAAAGUUUAAAAAAUGGUCUGACAGUCAAAUGUCAGAGGCCUUAAAUCUGUGUGUGUUUGCUGUUUGGUGUAUGUCAUGUUAUAUAUCUGUUCUUUGUAGUAAGGUCUUUAAUCUGGAACUUUAAUCAAGCCCAGAUUAUGUGUAGAUUUUAAGUUAUUAAAGGUCAAAGUACGUUGACCAGCAUUGACUGGCUGUUUCUGGGCAGCCCAGAUUUGCCCAGAACGCCUGACAACAUUUUUGCAGGCCUUGAUCUUGCUUGUGUUUUAUGUUUUUGGUCGUGUUGUUGGUCGAAUGUUAUAGACUGGUAUAUGAACUACUAUUCCAUGCCAAUAUAUCACCUUGAUUAAUAACAGAAUUGUUUAUAUUUAUGGUCAAACCUAGGUUGACCGACUGUCUAGGUACCAUUUCUGGAAAACCCAGAUUCGUGAAGAACAUGAUUUCUGUCAGAACUUUGACCAUGCUUAAUCUCUUUGUAUGAUGUUAUUAGACUGAUUUGGUGCAUGAUACUUGUACCUUGACAUGUGCAAUACAUUAUAGAACCUUUACAUCACACAAAUCAGACCCAGAUUCCAAGUUAUGAAGAUCUAAAGUACCCCACUCGAGUUGUUCUUCAUUUUUGGGAAACCUAGAAAUGAAGAACAACCACUAACAAGAAUUGGGAGGCUUAGAUCUUGAAGAUUUGAUUUGUUUUGGCUAUGGAACUUGCUGUAGAUUAUAGUAUUACAUCAAUACUACAAACAUAUUACACUAGACUUCUCAGAAACCUUAUGAUCAAGAAAUUAUAUGUGGUCAAACCACCUACCUUAGUGACUGACAAAGUUUCUGAAAAAUGCUCAAGAGCACCUAUAGCGACGGUUCUGUCACUAUAGGGCCUUUUAUUAAUUAUUAAUUUUUGAAAAUUAAUAUUUUAAUUAAAUAAAUUGAAAUAAAUGGUUUUUAAUUAUUAAAAAUACAUAAUAAAUUAUAAAAAAUUAUUUUAAAGCCUGAAAAUUAGUUUUUAAUUAUUUAGAGUAUAUUUCAUAAAUAUUUAUUAUUUUUGGAAUAUAAAUGGUAUUUAAUUUAUUUAAUUAUAAUAUUAAAUAAAUUAUUUAAAAAUGAUUUUAAUACUUUAAAAAUCAUGAAAAAUUAUAUUAUGGUAUAAGAAAAUAUUUUAAGUUAUUUUUAAUAACUUUUGAUAUUUUGUGAUGAAAUUCAUUAAUAAAUUAAUAUUAAUGGUAAUUAGUUUAUUUAAUAAAUAUAUUAAAUAAAUUAUGGAAAAAUAGAAUUAAUGAUUUAAAAAUCAUAUAAAAAUGAUUUAAGUGUUAUAAAAAUAUUUUAAGUUAUAAAAUAUAACUUUCGAUAUUUUGUCAUGAAAAUAUUAAUAUUUUAAUAUUAAAAGCAAUAAUCGGAUAAUGGAUUUAAGUGUUUAAAAAUCAUAUAAAUAUGAUUUUAAAGUAUUAAAAAUACUUUGUGAUAUUAUUAAAUAUAUUAUAAUAUUAUGUCAUGUAUUUCAUUAAUAUUUGAUAAUAAAUAGAUAUUAAUGAUAAUAGAAUAUUGUGGUAUUUAUGUUAUUUAAAUACGAUAUUAAUGAUUGAAAAUUUAUGAUAAGUAGUAAUAAUUAUUUAAAAAUUAUUGCGAGCUUAUGAAAAAUAUUUUGACUGUUAAUAAAUUAUCUUAGAUAAUGGUUAAGUGUUUAGACAUAGUUUAAUUGAACUUAAACUCGAGAUUUGUCCGACUAGACCAUCGGGAUGUCAAAUUUGUGUCGGGUUCAACUCAGACUGCAAUAGUUUGACUUGAUACCGAGUCCUAUGUGUAUUGUAAACUGAUAGGGUUAUGUGUUAUGUGUUAUGUAUUUUGUUUAUUCUAUGUAUAUCUAUAUAUAUAAUAGUAUUAUAUUGUGAUGAUAUUAUUCUAAUAUUGGAGAUCUAUAUUACUAAUAUUAGGUCUUCGAAUAAAGCGUUAUAAAUUGUGUAGCAGUAAUUAACCGAAUAGGCAAGUUUUACUUAACUCUAAUAUUCAUUUGGUCGUGGAAUAUUCUUGUGAUGAGCAAGUUUUAUAUUAUGAUGAUAUUAUUCUAAUAUUGAAUAUUCGUUUGGUCGUGGAAUAUUCUUGUUAUCGGGGAAUAUUCAAUCUUCGUAUUCGUACAUAGUACCGUAUACGUAAAAAAUGUUAUAUACAUGAAUAGUGUCAUAUACGUGAAUAGUGUCAUAUACGUGAAUAGUGCCGUAUACGUGAAUAGUAACCCCGACACAAAAAAGGUAGAACUUCCACAAUAAAAUACAUACCAAUAUUUUGGUAUAAUGAUAUUGAAAGAAUAACAUCAUUACAAAAAAAAUAUCCCUUACAAUCCCUUAAAAUCUCUUACCUCAAAAGAGCAGUAUUUCUAACUGGAAUAUCGGAUAUAACGCUGAAGAGAACUUGCACCGUAUAGCCACACUCAAAGUAUCAAAAUACUCACAAAAAUACGCUCGAUAAUAUAGAGAGAGAAAACUUCAGUUUCUGGUGUGAUUUUCAAUUCUAACCUAAGCACCUUAUUUAUAGGAAAAUACUUAGAACACCAAAGCAGAAAAUUUAAUAAAAUAUAUUAUUAAUAAUAAAAUUUCAUACGCCUCCUUGGAAAUAAGCUCUUAGCAUUUCCCACAUGCCCACCUUCUAGAAAAAGUAAGAAAAAACGUUUUUCAUAAAAUAAAUAAUUAAAACUUUCAAAAAUCAAUUAUUUCGGAACUUCGGAACUUCAAUAAUUCAUAAUAAAUAGCCCUUUUGUCAGAAAAAUUCGAACCACAUGUCCUUUCCAUAGGAAAUUUCAUUCUCUACAACUUUGUAAGUUUAAGUUUUUCCAAAUUCCAAACAGAAAUUGACCGAAAUCCACAAACGGGCGAUUUUACAGUCUAUAAUCAAUUUUCGGUCAAGAAUUGUGUCCACCGACACACAAAACAUAUGUUAAACAUUUAAUGCCACAAAAUACUCUACCUCCUCAUAUACUCAUAUAUCCCACAUUCAUUAUAAAAAUAUCACCGUUAAUAUAUUAUUAAAAUAAUAUAUUUAAAUGAAUUAUUUUAUCAGAAAAAGAUAAAAUAUUAAUUUUCAACAAUUGUCACAUUAAAAAUUUUCUCCAUCUAUAUCCACAUAAAAUGAAUAUUUUCCUUAUCAUAUAAAUCAAUAAUUAAUUAUUCACAAAUAAUAUUACAGAAUUACAAUAAUGACAACCAGGCCGUUCCUAGGAAAGAGGGGGCUUUCCAAUAAGGAUUUCUCCUUACUGGCGCGCAAUUAGGUGACCAAACCUCUCCUUAGACAGAACUUUCUAGACAUUGUCAAUAAUGUUAUCUAGUAAUAUUAUUAAAAUAAUAUGAAUUAUUGAUCUGAUAAUGGAAAAUACUGUGCAGUGACAAUUAUUGAAACAACAAUAAUAUAAAAUAUGAACGUAGCAAUUAUUGAAUCGAUAAAAUAAAAUAUUGAACAGUAAUUACUGUAACAAUUAUUGAGUAGUGACUUUUUAGGUAAGAAUCAAUAAUUCAAAAAUAGUGUGCAAUACCGUGUGCUACUGUGCAACAACGCGUAUUACUUUACUUUACCCACUGGGUAUUCCAAUAGUGUUAAUGGUAACGAUUACGCCGUUAUUUAUAAAAACUUAAAUUUGUCGUUUUCUCCAUCCGACAGUUGUUCUAUUAUGGGGCCCACAAAUGGCAGCGCCGUCGUACGAAUAUUCCCCGAUAACAAGAAUAUUCCACGACCAAACGAAUAUUCCCCGACAACAAUGAAUAUUUUAUAACCACUUGCUUAUUUUGAAAAAAAAUAAUUUCACCCAUAACUUUAAACUUUUAUCAAUUUAACCAUUUACUGAAUAGUAUUCAUAAGAAAAAUUGAAUACUUUUAUUAUAUAAAAUUCGGGGUCUUACACUAUGGAUCUAUGAUAGAUCAUCAUAGAUCACCAUAAAACAUCUUCUAGCAAACAUCUAAACACAUAAACACUAACUCUAUCUUAGCAUACAAGAUCAAAAUUAAUUUAGGGUUUAUACCUCUUUAGACUUUAAUUUUUGAAUGUGAUCCUUGGAUCUGUUAUUGGAAGGCUAAGAAUUGAUCCUAGCUUUGAUUCUCAUUCUCUUUCUCUCUCAGUCCCGAAAAUGAAGAGAGUGAAUGGUCUUGGAGAAAUGAGAAAUAAUAAAGUAGCCACUUUCUCUCUCUUAAUCUAUUUAUUUGAUACAAAUGCAAUGCACAUGGCUGAUACAAGGGGCAAGAUAGCUGGUAUGUGUCACAUGGCUGGUACAUAGUUGGUCACCAACUCAAAAUAUUGCAAGAUUUGCAAGCUAACUAAUAAAGAAUGCUAAAAGGGGUAAAAUGGUCAUUUAGAUUUUAUAAUUACUGGUAACAUGGUCUUUUGCCCUAACCCUUAGGGUUUAGGGUUUGAACUCUUAGGAUUUAGGGUUUGAACCCUUAAGUUUUAAAAAUAAAUUCUAGGAUUUAUUAAAUUAGGUUUUCAAAAUCGAAAAUUAAUAUUUCUAAAUUAGAAUUAGAAUUUUUUAAUUAUAUUAAAAUUUCCUAAUCAUAAUUUAAAUCUUGAUAAUUAGGAUUAAUAUUUCCUAAUUAAAAUUGCUAAUUAAGCAAUUAGGGUCAAAAUGGUACAUUAGGGUUUAUAACCCAAGAAUUAGGGUUUUAAAUAGAAAAAUAAUUUUUCUAAUUUAGAAAUUAGGUUUCCUAAUUAAAUUAGGGUUUUCUAAUUACUUAUAACUUGAAAAGUAGGAUUAAGGUUUCCUAAUUAACAUUAAAAUUAUUAAAUCAACAAUUAGGUUUUCCUUAAUUAUAAAUUAGAGUUUCUAAUCCAUAAAUUAGGGGUUUCUAGAUCAAUUAGGGUUACCCCUAAUAAGGUUAUUAUUAAUAACUUUUAAACCUUAAACUAGCAUUUGAAUCCCCAAACUAGGGUUUUAAAUUUCUGAAUUAGGGUUUCGGAUUCCCGGAACAAAAAUUAGAGUUUCCAAAAUCGAUUUUAGGGUUUCUUAAAAUUCGCUAGGGGUUUCUAACCGAACGAUGAUGUUCUUAAUAUAAUAUUAGGGUUUGCCACUGAUAUACGUUAUCAUAUACUGUACAUGUAUACAACCAUAUACACAAAACAUAUACUCUUAUACCCUUAAUCCUGAAUAAUUCACCAAAAUCCUUCACAGAAUUUUGAAAUCCUCAAAAGUCUUUCUCAAAAAUAUCAAACGCAUACACUUAUUUUACGUUUAGGUUCUAAUAUUGAACCUUAAAUCAAUUAAUUAAAAUUUUCUAAAUUUUUUAAAUUCUCGGGUUGUCACAUAUACGAGAAACUUAUACACUUAUACGUCUUUCUCGUAUUUACAUAAAUGAGAUUGUAAGACUGCAUGGUAUGCCAGUAUCCAUAGUUUCUGAUCAAGACCCAAGAUUGACUUCACGAUUUUGGGUUAGUUUGCAAAAAGCUAUGGGAACGGAUUUACGAUUUAGUUCGGCGUAUCUUCCUCAAACGGACGGACAGUCGGUGAGGACUAUUCAAACUCUUGAGGAUCUAUUAAGACUCUGUGUCCUUGACUUCAAAGGAAGUUGGGACAAGUUCUUGCCAUUGGUGGAAUUCUCCUAUAACAACAGUUAUCAAGCAAGUAUCGGCAUAACUCCAUUUGAAGCGUUGUAUGGAAGAAAGUGUCGUUCUCCAGUAUGCUGGGACGAGGUGGGUGAAGGAACGUUGUUGGGACUGGAAUUGGUACGUAUGACUACGGAGAAGAUUCAAAUGAUCCGACAACGUAUAAAAACCUCACAAGAUCGACAAAAGAGUUAUGCUGAUCUUCAUCGGAAGGACGUGGAAUUCAAUGUUGGAGAACAUGUGUUGUUACGUGUUGCUCCAUGGAAGGGAGUGAUGAGAUUUGGAAAGCGAGGAAAGCUCAAUCCUCGAUUCGUUGGCCCAUUUGAAAUCCUUGACCGAGUAGGAACUGUGGCAUAUAGACUCGCUUUACCACCAAGUAUGUCUCGUGUUCAUAACGUUUUUCACAUAUCCAUGUUACAUAAAUAUAGGAAGACCCGAACCACAUUAUUGAGUUAGACCCGGACGAAAUAGUGGAAGAUUUAACGUAUGAAAAGGUACCUAUUAAAAUCUUGGAUAAGAAAGAACAUAUUCUACGCUCCAAGGUUAUACCUCAAGUCAAAGUUUUGUGGAGAAACCACGAUGUUGAGGAAAUGAUCUGGGAGUUAGAAUUCGAAAUGAAAUCAAGGUAUCCUCACCUCUUCGACAUACCAGGUACGUACCCUAAUUUCAAGGACGAAAUUUUAUAAGAAAGGGAGGUUGUAAGACCCCAAUUUUCAUAAAUAAAGAUUAAUUUUUCUCAAAAUAUAUUUUUGAAAAUUAUGGUGUGGAUUUGAUAUAAUGUUAUAGUUGUAGGUAAUAUUUAUAAUUUUUUCAAAGUAUGCAAGUUGUUAUUUAAUAUUCGAUUGGUCGGGGAAUAUUCGUUUUAACAUGGAAUAUUCGUACAACGACGCAAUCAUUGGUGGACCCUACAGUGGAAUUAUUGUCGGAGUUAGAAAAUGACAGAAAUAUCUUUUUAUAAAAAUAACGGUGAAAGUUUUACCGUUAAACUGUUGAAAUACCCGGUGGUAAAAGUACAGUAAUACACGUGGUUGCAUAAUAGCACAUAGUAUUGAUUAUCGAUGCUUACGUGAGAAGUCACUCUAUUUUGUUCAAUUAUUGCUACAGUAAUUGCUGCAUAGUACGUAUCUCACAUUAUUUGAUUCAAUUAUUGUCAAUAUUUUAUAUAUUAUUAAAUCAAUAAUUGAGAUGACAAGUUAUUCUAAUUAUUAUAUGCAUAAUUAACAAUGUGUAGAAAGUUCUGUCGAGGAAAGGGGUUUGGUCACCUAGAUGUUUGACGUUCUUUAAUGUGAUCUUAUCUAAACAAAGCAUGCUAGGUGACUUUAAUACAAUGGCUAUCGUAAAUGGGAACCUACCAAAAGCUAUAUUAUUUUUGAUGGUUGGAGGGUUCCUCAACUUUCGAAGAGGAAUUGGAUAGCAUUGACCAGACAAAGUCAGGCUGAAAGACUAUAAAUCAAGCGCUGACUGGGAGGCAACCCAGGAAUUUUUAUAUUUAUAUGCUUUACUAGUUUAUUUAGUAGAUAGGAAUUAAUUUGCUUAGUAAGUUCUCUUAUAAUCUAAUACAUGUUGUCUCUCUUCAUUGCAGGUAUUGGAGGUUCAAUGGAUAGGAAAAUGAUCGUCGCUACCAUCGCCACCAGCACCUCACGCUUAGCUGAUUACAGGGAAGUUCUCUUCUACUUAUCGCUAUAUUCUUACAAUGAGGACAUUGUAAUUGCUAAGUUUGGGGGAGUUUAGUUUAGUUCGUUAUUGCAUGUUUAGUUUCAUGUUUAUGUUAUGUUAUUUUGCAUAUGUUGUUAAUAUAGUUUAGGUUCAUUAUAAAAAAAAAAAUUCAAAAAAUUCAAAAAAAAAUUCAAAAAUAAUAGUUAGUUACUAUGUUCAUUUUGAAUAAGUCCACUGGUUUGUUAUAGUUAAGUUUAUUUUGGCCAAUGAUGAGAUUGGAAUUGGGUAGACAAGUAUAAUAUUGACUAUUAGAGCUUUGAUGUGAUUUCUUGUUAUGAAUUGAAUCUUUUUCUGUUUGAAACUAGUAUAAUAAUGAUAGCACAGUAAAAACAACUUGUUGAUUGAUUGAGUUUAAAUUGAUACAUAAUGGGACUCUAAAGGAUAAUUCUAGUUUGAAUGAAAGAAUGACAGAAUAAGUAGUGAUGACUAAAGUUAGACAAGAACCUAAGUUUGGGGGAAUAUAUGUGGGGUAUAUAAGCUUUAAAAAAAUGGAAAAAAAAACAUGUUGAGUCUUGUAGUGGGUUGAGGAGAAACACUCCCCAUAAACAUAAGCGUGAGAUGGAGCGUAAAACACACUCACCAACCAUCUAUCAAAAGAAAAAGAAAAGGGAAAUAAUCACGGGAAAAGAGCAAAAAGCCCCCGUGUAAAAAAAAAAAGAGAAGGAAGAAAAUAAAGUAUAAGUAUCCUGCAUGUACCCUUGAAUUUGGUUGAGUUUAAUUUUAGUUGAAUCGUGCCUAUCUUUGAGAUUUCUUGAGUUUACACUGUAUGAUGCCUUCNNNN